UGUCAUACAUCAUGUGACUGUUUUAUUGAUUUGGAUUCAUUAGUAUUCAGUUCAUAAGAAAGCAUAGGCAGCAUGGUGGACAAGUUGUUGGCAGUGUUCUGUGUGGUUGUUUGCGAACACCACUGACAAAAACACAUACAAGCAAGUAACAUAAAAUGGUGGACCCACCAAUGGAGGUGAUGUGAAAGCCCGGUGGUGCCUUCAGGGUCCUUCUUGUCCAUCCGUUCCUGAGCACUUGGAGGUGAUCUUCGCGGCCGCUGAUGAGCAGCACAUGCUCCUGGAGCCAGCCCAGGAAGAAUACCUCCACCAGGGCCCGGUGUGUGAAUCUUCGGAGGCCUCGUCCUGUUGUGAUGAAACACCUGCAUGUUCUGGCUCCAAGGAACCAAUCAGGAGUGGGGGCUUUAUUGAUGUACUAUCCCCCAAAGACAUUAUGCAUCAUAGGAAACCAUGCUGCUGCUGUCAUCAGUCCCAGUGCCAUGCAGACUUUGACAUUUUUAUUAGUACUAUCUAUUCAGUAACACAAUCCACACAUUUCAAUCUUUAUUUGUAAAUGGAACAUGAUAUUAAGUCUUUGUGUGUGUGUGUGUGUGUGUGCAUGUUUGUGUGUGUGUGUAAAGCAUUUGCUCAGACAGGCGAUGCUAAGCUAGUAGAGGCAAAGUCGUCAGUGCAUUCUUGGUGGAGCGCAAAACCGAAAGAACAAGGAUGGUAUUGUUACAAAGAAAUCUGAGACCAGAAAAAUUGCAACCAGGAGGCUACCCAGGGGCCAAUGUCGCUGUGUGUCUUUAUGAAUAAAUGAC